AUGGAGCACGAGCCGAGCUCGUCCAGUCAGAGAGGACCGCUACUCAAUAGAUGGAGCACGAGCCGAGCUCGUCCGGUCAGAGAGGACCGCUACUCAAUAAUCGACGGAGUACGAGCCGAGCUCGUCCGGUCAGAGAGGACCGCUACUCAAUAGAUGGAGCACGAGCCGAGCUCGUCCGGUCAGAGAGGACCACUAACUCAUAGCCGAUGGAGCACGAGCCGAGCUCGUCCGGUCAGAGAGGACCGCUACUCAUAUCCCGACGUCUCGGGCAUCCCUAUAGCCGGGGCAUCCCGACGUCUUGGGGCAUCCCGACGUCUCGGGGCAUCCUGACCGUGGUCAGGGUAGGAGCACGAGCCGAGCUC
rnacentral:lncRNA from 1 species